AGCGGCGGACGGGUGAGUAACACGUGGGUAACCUGCCCAAGAGACUGGGAUAACACCUGGAAACAGAUGCUAAUACCGGAUAACAACACUAGACGCAUGUCUAGUGUUUGAAAGAUGGUUCUGCUAUCACUCUUGGAUGGACCUGCGGUGCAUUAGCUAGUUGGUAAGGUAACGGCUUACCAAGGCAAUGAUGCAUAGCCGAGUUGAGAGACUGAUCGGCCACAUUGGGACUGAGACACGGCCCAAACUCCUACGGGAGGCAGCAGUAGGGAAUCUUCCACAAUGGACGAAAGUCUGAUGGAGCAACGCCGCGUGAGUGAAGAAGGGUUUCGGCUCGUAAAGCUCUGUUGGUAGUGAAGAAAGAUAGAGGUAGUAACUGGCCUUUAUUUGACGGUAAUUACUUAGAAAGUCACGGCUAACUACGUGCCAGCAGCCGCGGUAAUACGUAGGUGGCAAGCGUUGUCCGGAUUUAUUGGGCGUAAAGCGAGUGCAGGCGGUUCAAUAAGUCUGAUGUGAAAGCCUUCGGCUCAACCGGAGAAUUGCAUCAGAAACUGUUGAACUUGAGUGCAGAAGAGGAGAGUGGAACUCCAUGUGUAGCGGUGGAAUGCGUAGAUAUAUGGAAGAACACCAGUGGCGAAGGCGGCUCUCUGGUCUGCAACUGACGCUGAGGCUCGAAAGCAUGGGUAGCGAACAGGAUUAGAUACCCUGGUAGUCCAUGCCGUAAACGAUGAGUGCUAAGUGU
rnacentral:rRNA from 1 species